rnacentral:rRNA from 1 species
AUUGAACGCUGGCGGCAUGCCUUACACAUGCAAGUCGAACGGUAACAGGUUAAGCUGACGAGUAGCGAACGGGUGAGUAAUAUAUCGGAACGUGCCCAGUCGUGGGGGAUAACGUAGCGAAAGCUACGCUAAUACCGCAUACGAUCUACGGAUGAAAGCGGGGGAUCGCAAGACCUCGCGCGAUUGGAGCGGCCGAUAUCAGAUUAGGUUGUUGGUGAGGUAAAAGCUCACCAAGCCUGCGAUCUGUAGCUGGUCUGAGAGGACGACCAGCCACACUGGAACUGAGACACGGUCCAGACUCCUACGGGAGGCAGCAGUGGGGAAUUUUGGACAAUGGACGCAAGUCUGAUCCAGCAAUGCCGCGUGCAGGACGAAGGCCUUCGGGUUGUAAACUGCUUUUGUACGGAACGAAAAGGCUCUGGUGAAUACCUGGAGUUGAUGACGGUACCGUAAGAAUAAGCACCGGCUAACUACGUGCCAGCAGCCGCCGUAA